ACGUAGCUCAGCUGGUUAGAGCACAUCACUCAUAAUGAUGGGGUCACAGGUUCGAAUCCCGUCGU
rnacentral:tRNA from 2 species